rnacentral:rRNA from 1 species
AUUGAACGCUGGCGGCAUGCUUUACACAUGCAAGUCGAACGGUAACAGGUUAAGCUGACGAGUGGCGAACGGGUGAGUAAUGCAUCGGAACGUGCCCAGUCGUGGGGGAUAACGCAGCGAAAGCUGUGCUAAUACCGCAUACGAUCUCUGGAUGAAAGCGGGGGACCGAAAGGCCUCGCGCGAUUGGAGCGGCCGAUGUCAGAUUAGGUAGUUGGUGGGGUAAAGGCUCACCAAGCCAACGAUCUGUAGCUGGUCUGAGAGGACGACCAGCCACACUGGGACUGAGACACGGCCCAGACUCCUACGGGAGGCAGCAGUGGGGAAUUUUGGACAAUGGGCGCAAGCCUGAUCCAGCAAUGCCGCGUGCAGGAAGAAGGCCUUCGGGUUGUAAACUGCUUUUGUACGGAACGAAACGGCCCUUUCUAAUACAGGGGGCUAAUGACGGUACCGUAAGAAUAAGCACCGGCUAACUACGUGCCAGCAGCCGCAGUAA